rnacentral:lncRNA from 1 species
UAGUUUCUCUCUCUCUAACUUUCUCUCUUAAGUCAAAGUCUGCUUCCAUUGCAGGAUCAGUGACCAAGAUUGGACAGGCUUCCAUGAAUCAAAACUUAAUGGUGGUUGCCACCAAGCUCUGUUCACUUCUUUUUGACCUAUAUCCAAGAGUUCUUCGUGAAAGUGAGCCUUGAAGAUUGUCGCCUCCAAGUCCCGUUUCGAACUAUUUUAUUGGAGUCUUUAUGAAUCAAGCCUUAAUGGUUUUAGCCACCAAGUCCUGUUCAGACUCAUCCAAAGUAAACAAUAGAUCUUAUUUAUUAUUAUUAUUAUUAUUAUUAUUAUUAUUAUUAUUAUUAUUAUUAUUAUUAUUAUUAUUAUUAUUAUUAUUAUUAUUAUUAUUAUUAUUAUUAUUAUUAUUUUUUUUUUUUUUUUUUUUAAUAUAUAUACUAACUAUUCUAGGGUCGAAAUUUAGAAAGAGAAAAUGUGAUAAAUAAUCUACACCAGGCGUUACCUUCCAGACUUGUCUGAAGAAUCCGAUCCCAUGUAUACCAAGCCCCAAGAUAAGCGGUUAUGUCAG